UUACGAUUGAAAUAUAUUCCUAUAUACCAGACAACAGGCGAACGCUCCCAACAAUAGCACAAAAUUGUGCCGCUACAAGUUGAUUUUAAACCGAACUCGCUCGUCGGAACGGGUAAGGUCAGGUAAAAGCGCCCAAGCUUAGGCAAGAACUGAAUCAGAACAAAGAAAUAAUACAAAUUACUAAAACUUCAUAAUUGAGGAAACCCAGGCUUAUAAAGCGAGCUUCAAGGCAAGGUGUUAUACAUUUGUCGAGUUUGGUCUUAUCAAUUUAUAAGCUGUGAUAGAUAUUUUAGUCAGAUCCUUUGAAGUUUUGAAACUUUUAUUUCCAUAGCAGCGAAAGAAAUUGAAUUCAAUGCAACACACAUGGAAGGUCCGCAAAAUGAACCAAGCACAACGCCUCUACAUUAACAUUGCGAUUAUGCCACCCAACUGAUUAAUAUUCUUCAUUUCAGCAAAAUGUGCAGAGCCUGAAGCUUGAAUUAGAAGGUUUCACUCUCUUCGAACAAUGUGCUGCAUCCCAGAUUCCGACCUGCGGCUACCAAAUCCUGCAGAUGAAGUGGGGCCAAAUGCUGCAGCAAUAUCUGGCCGUGGAACCUGGCAUCGGUAAAUGGCAGUGUUCACUGGCAACGAUAGACAAAAGGCACCUGCGGUGGCAGCCGUUGCUAUCAUUGUUGUUGUUGUUUUUAUUCACGUUGCUGCACGCUCAGUUUGAAUUGAUUAAAAUUGGCAGCGGAAACACAACUGCAACUGACUAUGAAACGCUUAGACAUGGAAUUGCCAAAUAGCUGAUGGCAUAUGGAGAGAGACAUUCGACAGGCUCGGAAGUUUCAGUCUACGGUUUUCUAUUUUCACUACCUACGCCCAAAUUGUAGUAUGUGUAUGUGCGCCUGUAUGUUCGUGGGUAUGCGCUUCUGGGUGAAAGAACAAUUUUGCAUGCUAAAUGAAAAAUGCCCGGCCAGAGUCAGGCUUGGCCGUGGCUCAUGGGUGGUAGCCAGGAGAAGCUCUUAACUGAUUUCCGCUCCUCAUAUGCACAUGGCUACCUUCAACUUUAAAUGCAAUUUACAUUCGAGGAGUGGGUGAAAAGUCAAGCGGAUGGAACUUCAAAGUGCCCCUUCCAGAUUAUUGUUUUCCAGAUAAAAUACCGUUGGCCCAAAUGCAAUUUUAAGAAUGCAUCUGCGCAGCUAUCAGGCCACAGGAAAUUGUCUUAUAUUUUGCACAGUGAAUUGCUAGUCUGCAAAAGUAAUCUUUUGCCUAGUUGGGAAUGCACAUUUGUGGUUGGUUGGCUGCAUUAAGUUCAGCAGUAAAUAUAUAAGAUAAUUGGCCAUUAAAGGCUUGUCGAUGGAUGCAUGCCUGGCCCCACCUGGGACCCACGUAUUUCAAUUAACGUGCCAACACGAGCGGGUUUCACGUGAUCAACUGUAAGUGGCGCCCUCGCCGGCCGUCAGCCUGUUUUGUUCUUAUUUGAUGAUACACCAUAAAUAUUCGAAAAUAAAUGUAGACUGAAUCGCAGUGAACGGUGGUCAGCUACACCCUGGAACACAAAAGAUAACCUUACUUUCUCGUUUAUAAUAAAUUUAAUUAAGUGUUCAGUAAAAUAAACCUGUAUUAGCUGUUAGGCAAUUCAAUGUUAUUGUCAGAACAUAGUAUUAAGUUAAUAAAUAUUAUUUAUACUAAGCUGUCUAUAAGAAAAUAUA